CCUACGGGGUGCUGCAGUGGGGAAUAUUGGACAAUGGGCGAAAGCCUGAUCCAGCCAUGCCGCGUGUGUGAAGAAGGCCUUCGGGUUGUAAAGCACUUUCAGUGGGGAAGAAAGCCUUGGGGCUAAUACCCUCGAGGAAGGACAUCACCCACAGAAGAAGCACCGGCUAACUCCGUGCCAGCAGCCGCGGUAAUACGGAGGGUGCGAGCGUUAAUCGGAAUUACUGGGCGUAAAGCGCGCGUAGGCGGUCUGAUAAGCCGGUUGUGAAAGCCCCGGGCUCAACCUGGGAACGGCAUCCGGAACUGUCAGGCUAGAGUGCAGGAGAGGAAGGUAGAAGUCCCGGUGUAGAGGUGAAAUGCGUAGAGAUCGGGAGGAAUACCAGUGGCGAAGGCGGCCUUCUGGACUGACACUGACGCUGAGGUGCGAAAGCGUGGGUAGCAAACAGGAUUAGAUACCCUGGUAGUC
rnacentral:rRNA from 1 species